AACCUAGCACACCUGCGGUGUGUACCUGCGGAGGGAUCAUUACCGAGUUUACAACUCCCAAACCCCUGUGAACAUACCUAUACGUUGCCUCGGCGGAUCAGCCCGCGCCCCGUAAAAAGGGACGGCCCGCCCGAGGACCCCUAAACUCUGUUUUUAGUGGAACUUCUGAGUAAAACAAACAAAUAAAUCAAAACUUUUAACAAUGGAUCU
rnacentral:misc_RNA from 1 species